rnacentral:rRNA from 1 species
GCGUCUUAAGCAUGCAAGUCGAGCGGCAAGGUCCAGCAAUGSWCCCUAGAGCGGCGGACUGGUGAGUAACGCGUGGGUGACCUACCMAAAGGUUGGGGAUAGCCGGUAGAAAUAUCGGGUAAUACCGGAUGUGGUUACAGGGCAAUGGUCUUGUAAAGAAAGGAGCUAAGGCUUCGCCUUUGGAUGGGCCCGCGUUUCAUUAGCUAGUUGGUGAGGUAAAGGCCCACCAAGGCGAUGAUGGAUAGCCGGCCUGAGAGGGUGAACGGCCACAUUGGGACUGAGAUACGGCCCAAACUCCUACGGGAGGCAGCAGCUAANAAUAUUCCGCAAUGGGCGAAAGCCUGACGGAGCGACGCCGCGUGGACAAAGGAGGCCGAAAGGUUGUAAAGUCCUUUUUUCGGGGGAGAAUAAUUCUGGCAGGGAAUGGCCAGGAGAUGACGCGAACCGGAUAAUAAGCCCCGGCUAAUUACGUGCCAGCAGCCGCGGUAACACGUAAGGGGCGAGCGUUGUUCGGAAUUAUUGGGCGUAAAGGGCUCGUAGGCGGAUCUGUAAGUCUGGCGUGAAAGGCGGGGGCUUAACCCCCGGACUGCGCUGGAAACUGCGGGACUGGAGUCUGGGAAGGGCAGUUGGAAUUCCAGGUGUAGGGGUGAAAUCUGUAGAUAUCUGGAAGAACACCGGAAGCGAAGGCGAACUGCCGGCCUGAGACUGACGCUGAGGAGCGAAAGUGUGGGUAGCGAACAGGAUUAGAUACCCUGGUAGUCCACACUAUAAACGAUGCGCACUAGGUGUUGGGCCGAGUGGUUCAGUGCCGGAGCGAACGCGAUAAGUGCGCCGCCUGGGGAGUAUGCCCGCAAGGGUGAAACUCAAAGGAAUUGACGGGGGCCCGCACAAGCGGUGGAGCAUGUGGUUUAAUUCGAUGAUACGCGAGGAACCUUACCUGGGUUUGACAUGGCAGUGAAGGGUAUAGAGAUAUAUCCGGCCCGCAAGGGACGCUGUCACAGGUGCUGCAUGGCUGUCGUCAGCUCGUGCCGUGAGGUGUUGGGUUAAGUCCCGCAACGAGCGCAACCCCUACUACCAGUUACCAACAGGUAAAGCUGGGGACUCUGGUGGAACAGCCGGUGACAAACCGGAGGAAGGUGGGGAUGAGGUCAAGUCAUCAUGGCCCUUAUGUCCAGGGCUACACACGUGCUACAAUGGGGGGUACAAAGCGACGCGAAACCGCGAGGUAAGAGCGAAGCGCAAAAAGCCCCCCGUAGUUCGGAUUGAAGUCUGAAACCCGACUUCAUGAAGUUGGAAUCGCUAGUAAUCGUACAUCAGCAUGGUACGGUGAAUACGUUCCCGGGCCUUGUACACACCGCCCGUCACACCAUCCGAGUUGGAGGUACCCGAAGCCGGUAGUCUAACCCGCAAGGGAGGACGCUGUCGAAGGUACGUUUAGUGAGGAGGGUGAAGUCGUAACAAGGUAGCCGUACUGGAAAGUGCGGCUGGAUCACCUCCUUU